rnacentral:pre_miRNA from 1 species
AUUGUACUCCCUCCGUUCGGAAUUACUUGUCACAAAAAUGAAUGUAUCUACAACUAAAAUACAUCUAGAUACAUUCAUUUCUUGGACGAGUAAUUUCGAACGGAGGGAAUAACCG